GUUACACAUAAAAUACGGAUUCUCUACUUUUUGGGUGAAGAAAUUUCUUCUCAUUCAAGCAGAAAUCUUCUGGAUGGUUUUCUUGCCUCCAAUGUUUGAUGAUGCAGAUCUUCAAGAUUUUAAUAGAUUGCAAUUGAGUCAACACUGGUUCAAAGGCAUGGAAUUUUCAAUAAAGCAGCAUGGAUGUCUUCAAUAAAGUAUAGUAACAUUUACGUCCUCUGCAAGAGAGAGUCCCGAGUCCCAAGUGGGUAUAUUGGCAACAGGGUGAACACGUGGGUCCUGUUGGGCAGGUAGGUGGAAAUCCCAGACUUGGCAGAGGAGCACUGAUACUGAUACUCAUGGGGAAGAACCACCUCCAAAGAAGGAAUUAAUUUCAAAGACAUGAUCGUUUGUAAAUCAUCAGCUGACAAUCUGCUGCCAACCAGUUAUCUUGCCAAUCACCACAGUUUUCACUUUAUUGAAUAUCAAUGUAUCUUGAAGUCCUUGAAAUCUUGCUAUUUCACUUUUAAAUAUCUCCCACUUGCUAAAGGUUUCUUUGCCCCCAACAGCCUUGCCCCAAUUCAAACUAAUGGUAACUGUUCCCAAACUGCUCCCCUAACAUGUUCAGCAUAACUUUUAACCAAGCCUUUGCUUCUGAAUCCCAGGAUUCUGCUUGCAUUACAAACCACAUUUUGGAAAUCAAAUCAAAAGUUCAAAGACUUAGCUACUUUUAUCCGAUUUAGAACUAUGCCAUUGAAUCUAUAUUGUCUCUAUUAAUUCCUUCAGUUGAUGUGCAUCACCUUUGCA